AACAUGCUAUAUAAUGAUAUCAGAUCUCGUUAAUUAUAUUAACUAUUUACUACUUUAUAGAAAUGACACUUGUGGUGUACGAACGCUAUAAUAAACUAUUGUACAAAAGAUAGUAUGAAUUGUACUAUGAAGUUGGGCCUAUCUCAUUGUUAAUUGAACACGUGUCCUGCACUUCUACCUUAGCAAUCCACGUGUGUCACUUUAGAUAGAAUAGCUCUGCAAUCUCAAAUUUCCUUCACUCUUCUUCUCUUUCUCCUUCGUUGUUCUCUACAACUCUCUUUCUCCUUUGCUUCUUCGCAGUGUCAUCGGGCUUUGGAGCGGAAUCCAUCUCUUACUUACAGACCCAUCAAACAAUUGAAAAGUCUCCACAUGCACAUAGGGAUUUUUUGGGAGUUCAAGUUAAACAAAAAGGCAACGAUGAUAAAGAAACAGAUGCGUGUGAUCUAUGAAUAGCUCGUAUUGACAAGUAAGGAAUGAACUCCUCACUUCCCGAGAAAACAAUAAGAUUUUGUUUUGCGCCUACUUAAUUUUCAUAUGAAUGGUCAUGUUAUUUUGUUAAUAGAGAUUCCAAUGUUUGCUGAUUUUAAUUAUUUUAUUUCUCUUUCUAUUGUCUUCUUCCAAUUCUCACUUCUACUUCUGAGUAUCAUCUCUUUCUCUCGGUAACAACAACAUAGCCAGUGAAAUCUCACAAGUGGGGUCUGGGGAGGAUAGAGUAUAUGCAACCUUACCUCUACCUUGGGAGGUAGAGAGGCUGUUUUUGAAAGACCCUCGGCUCAAGAAAAGCAUGACAAAAUAUAAAACCUAAAAUUAUGUAAUGCGCUUCUCUUUCUCUAGGACAGUAUCUAGAUUUCGUUAUAGAUUUCGUUAUGCGCUUCACUUCCUUCUUAACUCUAUCAAUGUCGAAUCUCUGUGGUUUUCCCAUGAUCGUCUGUGAUGUUCUUCUUCUACAUUGGGGAAUCGACUCCACAUGUACCUGUAGUGCUGUAUCGUCCAUAAUAUGUUGAUUUAUUUGUCAUAUAUAGCUUCGAGUAAACUCUCCUUACACAAAGUUUUAUUUGACCGUUUUUUGUUGCUUCUGCUAUGAUAAGUCAAAAGUCACUGCAAUUUAAGUGUCUCCAAACACUAAACAAAGCUGAAUUUACUUAAGUUGAGGUUCCAUUUCUAUUUUAUCAGGUAUGGAGUUGCUUCCUAUCUUAUUCCCUCCUAUGGUUAGUUUCGACCGAACUUGAAUAAUAGGAAUUAUUAAUACUUAAUAAGGAACAGAUUAACUGAGUCACAUAUGACAUGUUAUCAUAUUAGGUUGCUUCCUUUCAUGUUUCUGCUUCAUCGUGAUUUGCAUCUCUAUUUGUAGUGAUUGAGACCUCUCAUAGGGUUGAAGUGUGGGUGAAUACCUGUAAUUUUCUCUUGCAUAAAUAGAAGAACACUGAGAAAUGUAAGUGAAAGAUCUAGAAUAUUUAAUCAAGGGAUAACAAAGUUUUCCUGCAUCAUAUUAAGUAAUUUCUUCUAUUCUUUCUUUAUUUUCUAGAUCAACAGCUCCAGUCUUAUUAGAAUGUGAUUAAAUUCAGUAGAGUCCCUUUUAUCUUCAAGAAAGGCAUACAUGUGGCAGUGUGCAUUUAUGUUGAGAACUCUAUAUCUAUUUUUUAUCUAUGGUUUUUGGUAGCAUUUAUUAUUUUCGCAGACUUUACUUAAUCAUUUUCUACACAAGAAUUGGUUGAAUUUUGCUCAUGGCAUGAUGAGGUGUGAGGUUGAUGAUGAAUUUGAGUGUGCGUUAUAAAUGUUGUAAAGUUUUACUAUUUGUUUUACUUUUUUAUUUUCAGACGACAUGGCUGAUAUAGGCUGUAUAUACCUUUCUGAUUCAUAUUCAGUAAAAGUUAGAAUUGCUACCAUUUCAAGCAGUUUAUACAUAUAUCUAGAUCAUUACUAAUCAAGCAUUCACAACCAUAAAGAUGUAACUCUUAAACUCAUUUAGGUAGUCUUUGUAGAAAUAUUGUCAGCGUUGAUUUAAUUGUAUGUUACGAAGAGAAAAGCCUUAUGUAACAGGUUUUAAUGUCCUCCCGAUUCAAAUGCUACCCGACACUAUCAUGUCAGCUUGAUGCGCUACAACAGAUACUUUGUCUCUUUUUCCUUCUGCAGCACCAUUGUUUGUAUAGAUAAAUGAAUUGGUCCAUUUUGAUAAACCUCUUAAUUUUGUAAAUGUCUAUGAUCAUCAACUUCUAAUCGCAAGGAGGGUGUGCAGAUCUGUCCAUCCGUCCUUCAUAAUCAUUCAAGGUACAAUUUAUAUCUCUUACAAUUCAAAGAGUUGAGUUGGUUAAAUUUUUUGCAUCUUCGCUUUGCCGCAAAUCCUAUGAGUCAAGCUUAUUUUAAUGGUCUACUUACUUGCAUUAGUUGCUGGCAACACCAAACAAGGAUGACAUAUUUCUUAAAAAUCAAUGAAGAUAUUAUUUGAGAAAUAACUAAAUAUCUUUUGAUAGUAAUGUAAAUCUGCCUGUUAUUACAUGGUACAUGUCUUUAGGUUAUCAAAAAAUGACAUGGUAAAGGUCUUUAGCCCAGUUUCUAUGAAGUAAAUAAAGCUCACACGUUGGUGUUGUUAGCAAAAGACCAAGCUUGGAGUCCUAGACACACACACACAAAUUAAACCACCAAGUUAUGAAUUUGCUGCUAAUUGCUCUUUUUUAUUUUUUUAUUUUUUUAUUUGUGAGGGAAAAAAGUGAGUGUGUGUGUGUGUGUGGGGGGGGGGGGGCGGUCAAGGGAUUUAAGCUUUGUAUUCCAAAAUAAGUUCUUACAAGAUAUAAAUUGCACGAAACAUCAAUAUUUUAUGUCAUUUUGAUUAAAAAAUAAACUUAUGAGUUAUUGGCAUCUGGAAAAUUGAUGCAAAGCUAUGUUCUCUUGAUGAGUUAUAAUAGAAAUUAGAUGAGCCAUGACAUUUCAAUUUGUGUGUCCAAACUAAUUUUGGAUCAAUUACUUGCAAAUUGCACUUCUAAUUUUCUAUGUGUUUUAGCGAAAAGAACAACAUCAUAUUUGUUAAAAUGCUUUACCGGUGGUUUUUGGCUCAGAACAGCCUUGCCUUUCAGGAAGACGGGCAAGGGUCUCUCUUACUUUGUUAAUGAGAUAGCAAAUAAUAAGUUUAGGAUCACUGAAAUAUGUUUCAAUGUUUUUUUAGGAAUAUGUUUCAAUGUUUUUGGUUGAAGAUAUUUCAUGUUAAUUGCAUUCUAUUCGAUCUAUGAAGUUAUAUUAACUCUUGCAUUGCAUUUGUUUCAAGAGGUCCAAGACACUUCAAUUUCUUUGCAUAUGUUGAUACUCUCUGUAGCAGUGGCAGAGCCAGGAUUUUCACUAAGGGGUUUCAAAAUAUAAAAAGGUAAACACACGAAGAAGACAAAUGGGGUUCAAUGUCUACUGUAUAUACAUAAAAAAUAAUUUUAACCAUGUAUACAUAGUGUAUUUUUCCGCCGAAGGGGGUUUGGAUUAACCCCCUUGGCCUUUCCUCUCUCCGCCCCUGCCGUGUAGGAGCAUUGUGCCGUACUGCCGUUGAACAUUGAAAAGUUUCUCUAUCGACCUACAAAUCUCUUGGAAGAUGAUUGCAAUUCCAUGUACCCUACGGAGAGAGCUGCCACACUUUUAACUUCCCUUCCCCGGCCCCCACCCUUUCCCCCCUAUAAGUUGUAGAUUGACGUUAUACUUUUAGCUCAAUGUAAUACUUAGGCAUUUCCUACUAGUGGACACUUUAUGUCGUGUUUCAUUAGAAGUUGUAUAAGAAUGACUUGUGUAAACAAGCUUUGGAAUUGUUUUGCUAUUGGUACUUCAACCAUGACGUGUUGGGCCAAUUGGUUCCUACCAAUGGUUGCUUCCUCUUGAUCUUAUAAAUUCAUCAAAGAUCCUCCUGCACGUUUCAUCCAUCU